UACGUAGGGGCGUAGACGUUAUUCCGGAACGUUAACUUGGGUCGGUAAAGGGUAGGUCGUAGGUGGUUUCGUUAACGUUUACAGAGGUGAAAGGCUAAACGGCCUCGAACCGUUAACGUAAGGACCUUUGAAACUUGGGAAAACUUGGAAGGUGUCAGGUAGAGGAGAAGUGGAAUUCCUAGUGUAGCGGUGAAAUGCGUAGAUAUUAGGAGGAACACCAGUUGCGAAGGCGGCUCUCUGGACUGUAACUGACACUGAGGCACGAAAGCGUGGGGAGCAAACAGGAUUAGAUACCCUGGUAGUCCCUGAG
rnacentral:rRNA from 1 species